UACGUAGGGUGCAAGCGUUAUCCGGAAUUAUUGGGCGUAAAGAGCUCGUAGGCGGUUUGUCGCGUCUGCUGUGAAAACCCGAGGCUCAACCUCGGGCCUGCAGUGGGUACGGGCAGACUAGAGUGCGGUAGGGGAGAGUGGAAUUCCUGGUGUAGCGGUGGAAUGCGCAGAUAUCAGGAGGAACACCGAUGGCGAAGGCAGAUCUCUGGGCCGUUACUGACGCUGAGGCGCGAAAGCGUGGGGAGCAAACAGG
rnacentral:rRNA from 1 species